rnacentral:rRNA from 1 species
GCGAAGUCUGGGCCAGGUGGCGGGAUAGUAGGGGGGGGGGAAGCGUGAUUCGGGUGAACGGGGUUUGAAGGGUGUGUAGGCGGGAAGGUAAGUCCGAGGUGAAAUCUCGUAGCUCAACUCAGAAACUGCCUUGGAGACGAUUGGUCUUGAAUAUCGUUGAGGGUGGCGGAAUAUGUCAUGUAGCGGUGAAAUGCUUAGAUAUGACAUAGAACACCGAUUGCGAAGGCAGCUAGCUAAACGAUCAUUGAUGCUGAGGCACGAAAGCGUGGGGAUCAAACAGGAUUAGAUACCCCAGUAGUC